ACUCCUACGGGAGGCAGCAGUGGGGAAUAUUGGACAAUGGGCGAAAGCCUGAUCCAGCCAUGCCGCGUGUGUGAAGAAGGUCUUCGGAUUGUAAGCACUUUAAGUUGGGAGGAAGGGUUGUAGAUUAAUACUCUGCAAUUUUGACGUUACCGACAGAAUAAGCACCGGCUAACUCUGUGCCAGCAGCCGCGGUAAUACAGAGGGUGCAAGCGUUAAUCGGAAUUACUGGGCGUAAAGCGCGCGUAGGUGGUUCGUUAAGUUGGAUGUGAAAUCCCCGGGCUCAACCUGGGAACUGCAUUCAAAACUGUCGAGCUAGAGUAUGGUAGAGGGUGGUGGAAUUUCCUGUGUAGCGGUGAAAUGCGUAGAUAUAGGAAGGAACACCAGUGGCGAAGGCGACCACCUGGACUGAUACUGACACUGAGGUGCGAAAGCGGUGGGGGACAAAAC
rnacentral:rRNA from 1 species